GAGGGAGGCCCCCUCCCCCCCGGCAGCCGCCGCCGCCGCCGCCGCCAUGUUUGAUGUGGGCAGCGCUGCGCGGGGCGUCCGUUAAGUCAAUAUGGUCACAAUCUAAGGAACUGUGUUAUAUCUAGAACUGGAGUGACCCAACUUGGAGAUUUACAAUAUCACAUCAUUAUGAUCCUGACAGCUGCACUUAAUUGCAGAUAAUGUACCUACAUUUUAAAAUAGAAAAUAAAUACAAGAAGUUGCAUCACUUGCA